UGGGGAAUAUUGGACAAUGGGCGAAAGCCUGAUCCAGCCAUGCCGCGUGUGUGAAGAAGGUCUUCGGAUUGUAAAGCACUUUAAGUUGGGAGGAAGGGCAUUAACCUAAUACGUUAGUGUUUUGACGUUACCGACAGAAUAAGCACCGGCUAACUCUGUGCCAGCAGCCGCGGUAAUACAGAGGGUGCAAGCGUUAAUCGGAAUACUGGGCGUAAAGCGCGCGUAGGUGGUUUGUUAAGUUGGAUGUGAAAUCCCCGGGCUCAACCUGGGAACUGCAUUCAAAACUGACUGACUAGAGUAUGGUAGAGGGUGGUGGAAUUUCCUGUGUAGCGGUGAAAUGCGUAGAUAUAGGAAGGAACACCAGUGGCGAAGGCGACCACCUGGACUAAUACUGACACUGAGGUGCGAAAGCGUGGGGAGCAAACA
rnacentral:rRNA from 1 species